rnacentral:tRNA from 1 species
UCCCUGGUGGCUCAGACGGUAAAGCGUCUGCCUGCCAUGCGGGAGACCUGGGUUCAUUGCCCAGGUCGGGAA